GUAACUACUGCUGCACUGCAUCUUAAUUUGCCCCGGGGCAAUUUAUCGGCGAAUAAUUAGUUUUCUUUUUUUGCCAUUUCCUCCCCAAACCCCCUCCCUUCGAUCGGUAUCCCGGUACCAUUCUCCGGUAUUGGCAGACCCGCAUUUAAAGCCACGGUGCAGUAAAGUUAUGAACGUUAGGCUUUAAAAAGAUUCCGACUGCACUGCUCUGUUUAAUCGAUAGCGAAGUGCUGUUAACGAACGUGUACGGUUGGAAGACAGACCUAAAACGGAAGUCUACGCGCCGCGUGUCAAGAAAACAGCCAUUGUCUUUUCGCUUAGUAAUUCUAGCCGAUUGUCGAGCGGUUGAUCUUUGCGUGUGAUAGUGCUGCACGUUCUUGUACUGUUUUGCUCCAAUCACACGACAUACAGCUGAAAGGACGGAAGCGAAGAAAGCCCUUCCGUGCAUGCCAUGUUUUGCAUUCCUUUAAGGAAACAUUGUCCCCGUUUCGAACGAGAAUUAAACGACAACGGCACGGCAUCGCAAACGAGUAUCAGUGGAAUUGUAGGAAAUCGGUGGAAUAGCUUAGAUUGUUAGCAUUGCAGCUUGCUCUCCGGAAUCUACACAUACGAUAGAAUGCAUCAAGGGUUUUCACAGCCACUUGCCGUUCGCGAUGCCUGCGCGCUCCGGAAUGUGGCCCACAGAAUCAACCGCGCUGCCGAUCCAACCGAGUGCCACCAAACGAAACCAAGCAUCGGAAACGGAAUUAAAUAAAUAAUCUGACACACGAAAUCACACCUUACCGUCGUCGGUGCUCGGUCAGUUGGUGGUGGUGAAUCCUGGAUGAACUUGGUACUUGUUUAUUUAUCGAUUUUAUUGCACCCUCUGCACACUGCUGCACCGUUUCCAAUUCCAAUGCUUCGUGCUGCCACUAGAUGACAGCUCGCAUGCGAAAAUCCUGAACCAGGCGCUAUUGAGCCCGGUCGGAUUGACUAAUGUUUUCAUUGGCCAACGAUUAUUGGCGUAGAUUCUGGCGUGAGAGUGAAUGAAAUACGAAAUAAGACGAUUAAAAAAUACACAAUGCAAUUGCAAUCUCGGCUCGUGCAAUGAUUUUGUAGCUUUGCAAAACCUACCCACCCCGUCGUUCCUAUGUGACACGGUGGGUUUGGCGAUUGGACAGCCGCACCCCGUGCACAAGUUUACAUUACCGGUGUUUGUUUAUACUGAAAUGAAUGUGCUCGAAUAUGAAGCAUCGCUGUCGGGUAACAAUGAAGUAUGGUACGUUGGAAAAACGAAACAUAAGGAAUGGUUGGUAACAGCGAUACUGUUGAGUUAUUCUGGUUUGAUUUAUUUUGUCUACUGCCCAUUAACGAUCCUAACUCACAGUAUAUUGACUUUUUUCUAUGGCUUUGAAAGGUGUGUUUUAGGUAGGGCAAAAAGCAAUUAAAAUCUAGCUGAUAAAAGUCGGUCAAAAAAGUUACUGGAAGCUGCAAGAAUAAAAUGGAUGAUAAUAACUUAUAAAA